CUCUGUCUCUCUCCAUAUAUAUCAAUGGAUGAAUGGAAGUAACUUAACCGAAUUAAUUUAACCCUAAAAGUAUGCACUGUUUAAUCCUAAAAUGUGUACUAACGUAACCGGAUAACGUUACAUCACUUACAUAGAGCGUGAAAAGGGACUGAAACCUUCAGGUUUUGAUCUUUCAUGGUAAACACAUAAAUACAAACUUGUUCUGUGAUUUCAGAAGUGCCAGAAAAAAAAAACUCUAUGACACAGGAGAAGUUCCUGAUUUUAACAUUUCUGAAGGGAGCUGCUGACAGAGAGGAUGAAAACACACACAUUUUGAUGUCCACGCUGUAGGAGCAUUACUAAAUAAGUUCUUCCAUGCUGAUGGCUGUGCUCUAGUCAUAUCUCCUGUCGAAGAACAUUUUUAGACAUUAUGAACCAUGAAUAAGUUUAGCUCCAACCCCAGUUAAGCAGACCUGAGCAGCUGAUCAAGGAUCAGCAGAAACUCUGCAGAACAUUGGUCCUUCAGCCCAGGACUGGACACCAGUGUUAGUGUCUGUCUCAGAAGCUGAAGAAAAAAGGCCACACCUUACAAGAAAUAAACGCCUCCUAAGUGUACGGAAAUACCUGGCUGAGGAGAUCAGUGACAUAAACCAGAUAAAACUGUCAGUGGUCUGAGACAGCUACAAGCCACAAAAACAGUUCAUAGUUCCUGCAUUUCUAUAAUGCAUUAAUGAAUAACAAUAAUUAAAAUAAAAUGUGAUGUCAAGGUUUUGUGUUAAUUCCAGCUAUGUUGAGUAUUCUGUGAAUAAUUUUGAUUUUAGGUGCAUAUUCUUAAUUCUUUGCAAAACAACCUGAACUGUUUGCUAUUGAAAGGUUGGUAUGAAGUUUAAAUAAAUAAAAAAAUUAUAUUCUUGACAAAA